AGAGUGUUCAAAUUCCUUUAUUUCCUUAUAUUCUUUGCAGCAAUGGACUUCCUCAACAAUAAUGAUUUAAAAAUGCUGCUGUUUCCAAUUUUGGGGCCAGAAGUACCUCCUUUCCACAGAGAAAAAAUGCAAGAGGAUUGCUACAGUAUCAAACCUCAGGCAUUUCACAGGGUUCUGGGGUUGUUUCAACUCCCUCUGUAUCACUUUGCUAAUCCCCUGAAUCAAGAGUACCUACUUUGGGAAAAGGAAUCUGCUCUUUUGAGAUGUGUGCACCUUCUAUUACUGAGGUACACUAUGCAUUGCAAUAAUGGAUACAAUGAUUAGGAAUACACUGCAUAACUACAACAUCUAAGUUCCAGAAUCUUUCAUCAACUAGAAAUUAUUACAACGUUACUUAAAAGGAGUGGUAUGUUUUUUAAACUGUUUCACUUUUAAAAUAAUGAAACAAUGUUGUAUAAUCUCUGUACAUGCACAAGCUUUAAGUUUGUUCCUCAUAGACUCAUAGGGCUCUUGCAACCUAGUCUGUUUUUUUGUUUGUUUGUUUUCUUUUUUCCUAAUUGUAUCACUAUUGUAUCACAGAACUAAUGGAUCUUUACACAGAUCUUUUCUCAUUUUGAUGAGAAAAACUUCUUUGCAAAAGUGUUGUUAAGCACUGGAAUACAUUCCACAGGGA